CCUAAAGUAGUUUAAUUAAAAUAUCGGUUUGUGGUGCCGUGGAUGUAAAUUUAUUUACCUUGGGU
rnacentral:tRNA from 1 species